rnacentral:rRNA from 1 species
UACAGAGGUCUCAAGCGUUGUUCGGAUUCAUUGGGCGUAAAGGGUGCGUAGGCGGCGCGGUAAGUCGGGUGUGAAAUCUCGGGGCUUAACUCCGAAACUGCAUUCGAUACUGCCGUGCUUGAGGACUGGAAAGGAGACUGGAAUUUACGGUGUAGCGGUGAAAAUUCGUAGAUAUUCGCAAGAACACCAGUGGCGAAGGCGGCUCACUGGCCCGGUACUGACGCUGAGGUGCGAAAGCGUGGGGAGCAAACAGGG